UCUGAGAGGAUGAUCAGUCACACUGGAACUGAGACACGUCCUAGUCUCCUACGGGAGGCAGCAGUGGGGAAUAUUGGACAAUGGGUGAAAGCCUGAUCCAGCCAUGCCGCGUGUGUGAAGAAGGUCUUCGGAUUGUAAAGCACUUUAAGUUGGGAGGAAGGGCAGUAAGUUAAUACCUUGCUGUUUUGACGUUACCGACAGAAUAAGCACCGGCUAACUCUGUGCCAGCAGCCGCGGUAAUACAGAGGGUGCAAGCGUUAAUCGGAAUUACUGGGCGUAAAGCGCGCGUAGGUGGUUCGUUAAGUUGGAUGUGAAAGGCGCGGGCUCAACCUGGGAACUGCAUCCAAAACUGGCGAGCUAGAGUAUGGUAGAGGGUGGUGGAAUUUCCUGUGUAGCGGUGAAAUGCGUAGAUAUAGGAAGGAACACCAGUG
rnacentral:rRNA from 1 species